CGGCCCAGACUCCUACGGGAGGCAGCAGUGGGGAAUAUUGCACAAUGGGCGCAAGCCUGAUGCAGCGACGCCGCGUGCGGGAUGACGGCCUUCGGGUUGUAAACCGCUUUUGACUGGGAGCAAGCCCUUCGGGGUGAGUGUACCUUUCGAAUAAGCACCGGCUAACUACGUGCCAGCAGCCGCGGUAAUACGUAGGGUGCAAGCGUUAUCCGGAAUUAUUGGGCGUAAAGGGCUCGUAGGCGGUUCGUCGCGUCCGGUGUGAAAGUCCAUCGCUUAACGGUGGAUCCGCGCCGGGUACGGGCGGGCUUGAGUGCGGUAGGGGAGACUGGAAUUCCCGGUGUAACGGUGGAAUGUGUAGAUAUCGGGAAGAACACCAAUGGCGAAGGCAGGUCUCUGGGCCGUCACUGACGCUGAGGAGCGAAAGCGUGGGGAGCGAACAGGAUUAGAUACCCUGGUAGUCCACGCCGUAAACGGUGGAUGCUGGAUGUGGGGACCAUUCCACGGUCUCCGUGUCGGAGCCAACGCGUUAAGCAUCCCGCCUGGGGAGUACGGCCGCAAGGCUAAAACUCAAAGAAAUUGACGGGGGCCCGCACAAGCGGCGGAGCAUGCGGAUUAAUUCGAUGCAACGCGAAGAACCUUACCUGGGCUUGACAUGUUCCCGACAGCCCCAGAGAUGGGGCCUCCCUUCGGGGCGGGUUCACAGGUGGUGCAUGGUCGUCGUCAGCUCGUGUCGUGAGAUGUUGGGUUAAGUCCCGCAACGAGCGCAACCCUCGCCCUGUGUUGCCAGCACGUCGUGGUGGGAACUCACGGGGGACCGCCGGGGUCAACUCGGAGGAAGGUGGGGAUGACGUCAGAUCAUCAUGCCCCUUACGUCCAGGGCUUCACGCAUGCUACAAUGGCCGGUACAACGGGAUGCGACACCGCGAGGUGGAGCGGAUCCCUUAAAACCGGUCUCAGUUCGGAUUGGAGUCUGCAACCCGACUCCAUGAAGGCGGAGUCGCUAGUAAUCGCGGAUCAGCAACGCCGCGGUGAAUGCGUUCCCGGGCCUUGUACACACCGCCCGUCAAGUCAUGAAAGUGGGUAGCACCCGAAGCCGGUGGCCCAACCUUUUUGGGGGGAGCCGUCUAAGGUGAGACUCGUGAUUGGGACUAAGUCGUAACAAGGUAGCCGUACCGGAAGGUGCGGCUG
rnacentral:rRNA from 1 species